CUUUUAAUGUAGCCACGAAAGUGACAGUCCCAAGCCUGAUAAAUACAGAGGGAAAG
rnacentral:ribozyme from 2 species